rnacentral:sRNA from 1 species
CCUCCUCGAUCUGCUGCGGGCAGAUGAAGUGGAUAUGGGAGUCGAAGCCGCCCGCCGUGACGAUCUUGCCCUCGCCGGCGAUGAUCUCCGUGCCUGGGCCGAUGAUGAUGUCGACAUUGGGCUGCACGUCCGGAUUGCCGGCCUUGCCGAUCCCGGUGAUCCGUCCGCCCUUGAUGCCGAUGUCACCUUUGACGAUGCCCCAAUGAUCGAGGAUGACCGCGUUGGUGAUGACGGUGUCGACCGCGCCCUCGGCACGGGUCGCCUGCCCCUGCCCCAUUCCGUCGCGGAUA